AUUGAACGCUGGCGGCAUGCCUUACACAUGCAAGUCGAACGGGCUUUGGGGCUUGCUCCAAAGUUAGUGGCGAACGGGUGAGUAAUAUAUCGGAACGUACCCUAGAGUGGGGGAUAACUAGUCGAAAGACUGGCUAAUACCGCAUACGAUCUAAGGAUGAAAGUGGGGGACCUUCGGGCCUCAUGCUCCUGGAGCGGCCGAUAUCUGAUUAGCUAGUUGGUAGGGUAAAAGCCUACCAAGGCGACGAUCAGUAGCUGGUCUGAGAGGACGAUCAGCCACACUGGGACUGAGACACGGCCCAGACUCCUACGGGAGGCAGCAGUGGGGAAUUUUGGACAAUGGGCGAAAGCCUGAUCCAGCAAUGCCGCGUGAGUGAAGAAGGCCUUCGGGUUGUAAAGCUCUUUUGUCAGGGAAGAAAAGGCGGGGGCUAAUAUCUCCUGUUCAUGACGGUACCUGAAGAAUAAGCACCGGCUAACUACGUGCCAGCAGCCGCCGUAA
rnacentral:rRNA from 1 species